GACGAACGCUGGCGGCGUGCUUAACACAUGCAAGUCGAACGGAAAGGCCCUGCUUUUGUGGGGUGCUCGAGUGGCGAACGGGUGAGUAACACGUGAGUAACCUGCCCUUGACUUUGGGAUAACUUCAGGAAACUGGGGCUAAUACCGGAUAGGAGCUCCUGCUGCAUGGUGGGGGUUGGAAAGUUUCGGCGGUUGGGGAUGGACUCGCGGCUUAUCAGCUUGUUGGUGGGGUAGUGGCUUACCAAGGCUUUGACGGGUAGCCGGCCUGAGAGGGUGACCGGACAAAUGGGGUGUGAGACAGCCCAGAGACCUAUAGGGGGGGGAGGUGUGGAAAAUAGUGCAAAAGGGGGGGACGUGUGACAGCGAAACGGCGUGUGGGGUAUGACGGUUCGCGGGUUGAAACGCGUUCUCGUGUGUGACGACGUGAGAGAGGGGGAAAGGGGUAAAGACGCACCGGAUAAACAUG
rnacentral:rRNA from 1 species